rnacentral:lncRNA from 1 species
GUUAUCAACCAUGUGCCUUUAAUGUUACAAAAAAAAAAAAAAAUGUGGGCUAAGUAAGGGCUGGGGCAUGUACUUUAUGGAAACAGCAGUGUAGUUUGGAAGACAGAAGACUCUUAAUCUGAAGUUCAAGGGCAUGGUCUGUACCAAUUGUGCUUCCCCAGGAAAUUCUCAAGAAGUCCAUUAAUGCCUGAUGGAUGACUAAACUACAGUUGGUACAGUUUGAUGCCCUCAAACUUGUUCCUUCUACCCUGGUGAGGGCCGAAAUUAGGAUUCAGGGCCUAGCCAAUGCUGUGAACCUUGCUUGCACCAGACUCGGAGUCAAGCAUGAAAGAAGAUACAGACCUUAGUAAAGGUGCAGUUCCUCUUGUCCAGGAGGUCAGAGUCUAAUUCAGUGGAGUAGGGUCAAGCAGGACAAUAUCACAAGGACAAAACACCAAGCAGAAAGUAAAAAGUGCCAUUUCUAGCCUUCGUUGCUGAGGGAAGGAGAGCAGAGCACAGAGUGCACCUUCAAGCAGUGGUUCUCAAAAAUUAGCCCAGGUCAGGAUCAUCUACGGAGUCCCACCGCAGGGCUUCUGAUUCAGUUGAUCUGGGGUGGGGCCUGAGAAUUUGCAUUUCUGACACCUCAGGUGAUACUGAUGCUGCUGGUGCUGGGGCACACUUUGAAAACACUGAUUUAGGGGAAAUAAUGCUUGAAUUGAAAGGAUACAAAAAUUGGGGCAGAUAGAUAAAGGAGAAGCAGCAAAAUUCUUAAGUUUGGCAUGAACAGAGAUAUGGAAGGGGCAUGUCCAAAUAACCCAGGUAGUCCAAUUAGUGAAUUGUGGGAGUGUGCUGGAGAGGCCCCUGAAAGCCUGCCUUGUAUGUUGUGUACCUGCUUGAGAUGAGUGAGUUGCCAACUGUGUUUGAGCAGAGAAGGCAUCCAACCAUAAUCCAGGAAUAUCCUGCACAGUUUUGUCACUAUCUGCAUAAUUAAUUAGCUGUGUUGAGGAUUCUGAGGGUUAGACUGGACCUAGCAUUGUGAUUAGUGGUUUUUGCCAUGGAGAGAGAUACAGAGAAUGGUGGUAAUUUUGUCACAUAGUUGUUAACCUGGAUCAGAGGGAGACAAAAUUUGGCAUAGCUAUAAUAAAAGGUAAUCAGGAACUGUAUUUUGGUGAUAUUUCUAUUAUAAUAGAAUGGCACAGUAGAAACAGAUGCGUAAGAUAUUGUUAAGGUAGAAUCUACUAAAUAGAGUACUGGUUGAUUCAUUUGUUCAGUAACAGUAUUUGCUCCAAAGAUGCUGGGACUACAGGAGUAAAAUGUAAACCCUGUUCUCAAGAAACUCUCAGCUUACACACAAAUAACACAAGUGGAAGAGACUAGGAUGAUCAGUACUCGGGAGAGACUUCCUGGAGGAGAGGUUUGAAAGGCAUCACAAAGCGAUAGUCAAAGUUAGCAGGCUGGGCUGGUGGUGUUUAUCAGAAACCCAAGGAGCAGGGGAGGGCGCUGGGAAGAGAGAUUGAUGUUCCAGGCAGAGGAAAGAACAUGAGCAGUUGUGGAGAGAGGCAGACACAGAAGAACCAUGAGUCGCUGGGCUGCAGGGAUAAGGCAGGGAGUGAUGAGAGCUACACAGGGACCGAGGAGGAAGGCCACAUGUUCCAUGGUCAGUUUGUGCUAUGGACGGUGGUGUGAGGGAGGCAUUUCUGGGGACAGAAUUCUAAUUUGGAUAUGAACUAUCCCCCAAAGACCCAUUUGUUAAAGUCUGGUCCCCAUCUCAUGAUAAUUGGGAGGUGGCACAGCCUUUUAGAGGUGGGGUGUAAUGGAAGUUAGGUCCUUCAUUGGGUGCCUACCCUUGAAGGGGAUUUUGAGGUCUUGGCCCCUUCCUCUCUUUGCUUCGGGGUCACAGUGAGGUAAACAGCUCUUCAUGCCACAUACUCCUGCCUGAUGCACUGAACCACCACAGGCCUAAAGUAACAGGACCAAGCAACCAUGGGCUGAAAACCUCUGAAAUGUGAGUCAAAAUAAACCUUUU